UACGAGGGGUGCAAGCGUUGCUCGGAAUUAUUGGGCGUAAAGGGGAGGUAGGUGGUCUCAUUUGUCUGGGGUGAAAGCCUUGAGCUUAACUCAAGAAGUGCCCCGGAAACGGUGAGACUGGAGUCUUGGAGAGGGUCGUGGAAUUCCCGGUGUAGCGGUGAAAUGCGUAGAGAUCGGGAGGAACACCUGAGGCGAAGGCGGCGACCUGGACAAGUACUGACACUCAACUCCGAAAGCGUGGGGAGCAAACAGG
rnacentral:rRNA from 1 species